GAAGAUGCAGCUGUCAGGGAAUGGCCUGGAGGAGCAGGCGGCCCAGCACCUUGCCGAACUCCUGCUGGCCCACACAGACCUGAAGUCCCUGGACCUGAGCUACAACCAGCUGAAUGACCAAGCAGGUAAUGCCUGCGCAGGGCACCAUGGCCAUGAAAGCUCAGCUCCCACCUUGCCCCACUCCUCUUCCACUCCAGCCACACGGAACUCUUCAUUCCUUCCACAAAUAUCUCAUUGCGCGCUGCUGUAUGUGCUGGGCACUGACUUAGCCACCAGGGAUCCACCUUGAACAAAACCAAGUUCCUGACCUCAAGGGACAAUGUUAACAAUAUCAUUCUGAGUAAUUAUUGGCACUGCAAAAGAAACAAAUAGUUUAUGCUUCUAGAGAAGAAUGGGGACCCCCUGCUUUAAAGAGGUGGCUGGGGAGGCCUCUGUGAGGUGACAUUUAAGC
rnacentral:lncRNA from 1 species